rnacentral:tRNA from 1 species
GCGCCGGUAGUGUAAGGUGAACAUCGUUGCCCGGAAAGCAGAAGUUGCGGGUUCGAGCCCCGCCUGGGGCA